rnacentral:rRNA from 1 species
UACGUAGGGUGCGAGCGUUAAUCGGAAUUACUGGGCGUAAAGCGUGCGCAGGCGGUUUUGUAAGCCAGAUGUGAAAUCCCCGGGCUUAACCUGGGAAUGGCAUUUGGGACUGCAAGGCUGGAGUGUGGCAGAGGAGACUGGAAUUCCUGGUGUAGCAGUGAAAUGCGUAGAUAUCAGGAGGAAUACCGAUGGCGAAGGCAGGUCUCUGGGUCAAGAUUGACGCUCAUGCACGAAAGCGUGGGGAGCAAACAGG